CCUACGGGUGGCAGCAGUGGGGGAUAUUGCACAAUGGGGGGAACCCUGAUGCAGCGACGCCGCGUGGGUGAAGAAGCGCCUCGGCGCGUAAAGCCCUGUCAGCAGGGAAGAAAAUGACGGUACCUGAAGAAGAAGCCCCUGCUAACUACGUGCCAGCAGCCGCGGUCAUACGUAGGGGGCAAGCGUUAUCCGGAUUUACUGGGUGUAAAGGGGGCGCAGGCGGCGGUGCAAGCCAGGAGUGAAAGCCCGGGGCUCAACCCGGGGAGUGCUCUGGAAACUGGGUGGCUGGAGUGCAGGAGGGGAAGGCGGAAUUCCUGGUGUAGCGGUGAAAUGCGUAGAUAUCAGGAGGAACACCGGUGGCGAAGGCGGCCUGCUGGUCUGCAACUGACGUUGAGGCCCGAAAGCGUGGGGAGCAAACAGGAUUAGAUACCCCUGUAGUC
rnacentral:rRNA from 1 species